UGCACAGCUAGUCCACGGCGGAGUUGUUACUGAGGGAAGCGCUGGAAGCACAGCUAUCAGCCUUGCUACAGUGGCUCAUGCCUAUGGAUGCAGAUGCCAUGUGGUCAUCUGUUGCUAUUGAGAAGUCCCAAAUUCUUGAAGCUUUGGGAGCUACAGUUGAAAGGGUCAGACCAGUUUCAAUUACACACAAAGACCACUAUGUCAAUGUUGCUAGGCGAAGGGCAUUAGAAGC
rnacentral:misc_RNA from 1 species